GACGAACGCUGGCGGCGUGCUUAACACAUGCAGGUCGAACGGAAAGGCCUGUCCUUCCUUGUGUUGGACGGGUACUCGAGUGGCGAACGGGUGAGUAACACGUGAGUGAUCUGCCCCCAACUUGGGUAUAAGCCUGGGAAACUGGGUCUAAUUCCCGAUAGGACUGCAGGGUGGUGCCUGUGGUGGAAAACGAUUUUCUAGUGGUUGGGGAUGAGCUCGCGGCCUAUCAGCUUGUUGGUGGGGUAAUGGCCUACCAAGGCGGCGACGGGUAGCCGGCCUGAGAGGGUGGACGGCCACAUUGGGACUGAGAUACGGCCCAGACUCCUACGGGAGGCAGCAGUGGGGAAUAUUGCACAAUGGGCGGAAGCCUGAUGCAGCGACGCCGCGUGGGGGAUGACGGCCUUCGGGUUGUAAACUCCUUUCGACCGCGAGGAAGCCGCCUGGUUGGAAGGGUGGUGACGGUAGUGGUAGAAGAAGCACCGGCUAACUACGUG
rnacentral:rRNA from 1 species